UUAUGUAGUCAUACGCUCGUCUCAAAGAUUAAGCCAUGCAUGUGUAAGUAUAAAUAGUUAACUUUGAAACUGCGAAUGGCUCAUUAUAUCAGUUAUAGUUUAUUUGAUGAAGAAUACUAAUUGGAUAACCGUAGUAAUUCUAGAGCUAAUACAUGUAUAAAGUCUUGUAGACUGCAUUUAUUAGAAUGAAAACCAUAGGUUUCGGCCUAUUCGUGAGUAAUAAUAACUAAUCAUAUCGUAUGCUUAUGUAACGAUGUGUCUUUCAAGUUUCUGCCCUAUCAGCUUUCGAUGGUAGGGUGGGGGGGAAUCCCUGGGAAGAGAGGGAGAAAAAUAA
rnacentral:rRNA from 1 species